rnacentral:rRNA from 1 species
CCUACGGGGGGCUGCAGUGGGGAAUAUUGGACAAUGGGCGAAAGCCUGAUCCAGCCAUGCCGCGUGUGUGAAGAAGGCCUUCGGGUUGUAAAGCACUUUCAGUGGGGAAGAAAGCCUUGGGGCUAAUACCCUCGAGGAAGGACAUCACCCACAGAAGAAGCACCGGCUAACUCCGUGCCAGCAGCCGCGGUAAUACGGAGGGUGCGAGCGUUAAUCGGAAUUACUGGGCGUAAAGCGCGCGUCGGCGGUCUGAUAAGCCGGUUGUGAAAGCCCCGGGCUCAACCUGGGAACGGCAUCCGGAACUGUCAGGCUAGAGUGCAGGAGAGGAAGGUAGAAUUCCCGGUGUAGCGGUGAAAUGCGGAGAGAUCGGGAGGAAUACCAGUUGCGAAGGCGGCCUUCUGGACUGACACUGACGCUGAGGUGCGAAAGCGUGGGUAGCAAACAGGAUUAGAUAACCUUGUAGUC